rnacentral:sRNA from 1 species
CCCUUUCUGGCCUUUGAUCCGUGCUGCUGCCUGCCUUUGGGGGAAGAGGAGGCCUCACACCACAUCCCCAGGUGGCCAUGUGGCCUCGACGCCACUGACCCAGGAUCAGGAGAGGCUGAGCUCCUUUCUCAGCAGCUUCUUCCUGUGGCCCCAGCCUCCGUGCCCUCUUCCCUCCAGGGGGGACUCGGUGCCUGCCUGGGGAGGAAGGAGAGGCGUCGCAGGCGUCUGAGCUGGGCCACAGCCUGAACGAGAACGUCCUCAAGCCUGCGCAGGAGAAGGUGAAGGAGGGAAAGAUUUUUGAUGAUGUGUCCAGUGGGGUCUCUCAGUUGGCGUCCAAGGUCCAGGGAGUCGGUAGUAAGGGAUGGCGGGAUGUCACCACCUUUUUUUCGGGGAAAGCAGAGGGCCCCUUGGACAGCCCCUCGGAGGGCCACAGUUAUCAGAACAGCGGUCCAGACCACUUCCAAAACAGCACCAUAGACCAGAGCUUCUGGGAGACCUUUGGAAGUGCUGAGCCCACCAAGGCCCGCAAGUCCCCGAGCAGCGACAGCUGGACGUGCGCGGACACCUCCACCGAGAGGAGGAGCUCGGACAGCUGGGAGGUGUGGGGCUCGGCCUCCACCAACAGGAACAGCAACAGCGACGGCGGGGAGGGUGGGGAGGGCACCAAGAAGGCAGUGCCGCCUGCCGUGCCCACUGAUGAUGGCUGGGAUAACCAGAACUGGUAGGGCCCACUGCGCCCCUGUCCCCAGCGCCCCCGGGCGACUUCGUGUUUGCACUCUGCCCUCGUCGUUCCUCCUUCCAUUUGACCCAAGAAUCAGCAACUGCAGUGUGAGGACAGCGUCUCCGGAGGCAGGACCCUAGGGAGACUCGGGUUUGUGCCGCCUGCGCGUGGGGAGUCUCGGUGCGUGGGGGCGGCUUGCUGGCCAGCCUGUGCGGGGGCCGUCCCGUCCCACGCUCCCCCAGGCAUUCUUGGACUCAAGGCAGGGGCUCUGCAUGGCUUGCUGGGAGGUGGGCUGCAGCACAGAGCCCUGUGACUGCGUUCCAGCGGCCAGUUCACUACGCGGUAUCUCUGGGGCCUGGGACCAGCCACGUGCCAAGCUGUCAGCGACGUGAGGUGUCCCUUCUCGUUGAGAUAUUUAACUUUGGGUUUGCUCUAGUUCUUUCUUUUUGAAGAGAGUGACUGAAGUGGUAAAGAUGGAAAUGCUGAAAAUGAUACUGGCGCUCACACUGCCAUCUGGUCACCCUCGGCUCCCGAGUCCACGCCUGCUUGGGCCUGUGCUGUCAAACCCGCGUCAGUCAUAACCCUCUGUGGCUCCCCUGCAUCAGCACUGUCCAACCACCAAGUUCACCAGACACAGUCUCCACAAUAGCCACACCCACACCUGAGCUGUUCUCAGUGCUGGAACUUGACCAUCCUGGAACACCCUGGAAAAAAAAAGAGCGCAGAGUGGGCCCUCGGCCCUGAUGCAGGAGGGUGCGACAGCAGACGUGGCGAGGCAGGAGGGUCCGGGUUCAGGAGCUGAGCAGGGGAUGCCUGUGCGUGGUGCCUGGGCCUAGGGAAGCUCCAGCCCCAGGAUUGGGCUGCCCUGCAGACUGGUGCCCGCCACAUGCCAACCCUCACCUCCCCAAGGACAGGAUGAUGUGCUGCCACGUAUGACUCGUCUCCCUUGUCCGCCCCGUGUGACCCUGGGUCUUGGCCAGCCAUGCAUGCGCCCGAAGCUCGUGCAGUUUGUGUGUGAGGUGCUCUCUUCCCUGCCACCGUGCUCAUCACUGUAGCCUUGGCCACGCUCCUGGUCGCCCCACUUGCUGGUCGCCGUCUGCAGCGCUCCUGGAGCAGCCUGGGCCCUUCAGCCCCUGUGCUCGUCCCACCCUAGGGACUCAGCGACUUGCGGAACAGGAUGGGACCGAGAUUUCAGCGAGCCUUCCUGGCGCCCGGUCCUCCCUGUGGGCACCAGCCCUCUCGGUAGCUGGUGUGGAGGGCCGGUGUCCUUGGCUGCCACGGAGGGAUUUGAUCACCGAAGCAGCCACCUGCUGUAGUUGAACCUGAGGUCAGAGGCGGGGGAUCAGAGGCUCAGGGUGCUGAGAAGCCACCGGGAAAGCGGCCAGCACAAAGGGCCCAGGAAGCCAGCCCCUGAGAGCUGAGCGUGGAGGUCUUUGCGUGUCUUUCUCCAAGCUGAGACGUGGGCGGCCGCAUGGUGUCUACCGAGGGCUGCUUGGACCCUGGUGGGCUGAGUGCUCCGAGGAGGGGUGGACUCCACCCUGGACAGUGGGUUGUGGUGUUCCAUGUGCCUGUUUCCACGUCAGCACCUUGACUUGGCAGCAUGGAGCCAAGGUCUGUUCCCGCCCAGGAGGGUGCCUUCCUCGGGGGUAGGGGGACGGCCCACUCUGCCCCAGGGAGUCCCCUUUGAUGGGAAGUGCAGUCAGCAGCGUGGAGGUGUCUGGGCCACCUUCAGAAGGUGGAUGUGGUGGCCAAGACCCUGUCCACGGAGGGUGACGGCCUUUCCCUUCUGCGGGUGCGGGCAGGUGGGCCUGGGACCGGUGCUUGGGCCUCUCCUGGCUGUGUGUGAGGGCCCGUGUGGAAGGCACGGACCUGCCAGCAUUCCAAUAAAGCAUACGGGAACACG